UGAGCCUUUAAUAACUAUGCUUUUCGGAAGUUGAAACAUAGAACAAAACUGUCCUUGUAUGUGCUGUGGCAUUCAAUUUUUAAUUCCUUGUAUUCUUUUGACCCACAUGAUUAUUAAUUGUUUGACUGUAGUAACUGGGCCUGCUGUUUUCUUACCUUGUUGAAUGGUCUCCAAUUGCUUUUUGAGUUUUCAGUUAGACACAGUUUAUCUCAGAUUGUUCAUUACUAGUAAUUUUUGGUCAUGUGGAAUCUUCCAUGUUCUGUUGUUGAACUUGGCAAGAAAAUCUGAGAUGCUGGUGGUUGGCUGGUUGCCACAGUGGCAUGCGGAUUUUGGUUAGCUUUAAAUAAUUCUUGUAGAGAAAUAUUAGUAGUUUGCAAAUUAAGAUAACGUUCUCCCUUUCUCCAACUACAUAGGGCUAAUUUUGCAGAUCCUUUCUUGAUAUCUAUGCAUGACAUUGAUCUUCUCAUAUCUGUUGUCAUGUUUCCAGGUAUUCCUUCACAA
rnacentral:misc_RNA from 1 species